AACGAACGCUGGCGGCAGGCCUAACACAUGCAAGUCGAGCGCCCCGCAAGGGGAGCGGCGGACGGGUGAGUAACGCGUGGGAACGUGCCCUUUGCUACGGAAUAGCCUCGGGAAACUGAGAGUAAUACCGUAUGUGCCCUUCGGGGGAAAGAUUUAUCGGCAAAGGAUCGGCCCGCGUUGGAUUAGGUAGUUGGUGGGGUAAUGGCCUACCAAGCCGACGAUCCAUAGCUGGUUUGAGAGGAUGAUCAGCCACACUGAGACUGAGACACGGCCCAGACUCCUACGGGAGGCAGCAGUGGGGAAUCUUAGACAAUGGGCGCAAGCCUGAUCUAGCCAUGCCGCGUGAGCGAUGAAGGCCUUAGGGUUGUAAAGCUCUUUCAGUGGGGAAGAUAAUGACUGUACCCACAGAAGAAGCCCCGGCUAACUCCGUGCCAGCCGCCGCCGUAA
rnacentral:rRNA from 1 species